AUGCUCAAAAUUCUCCAAGCCAGGCUUCAGCAAUAUGUGAACCGUGAACUUCCUGAUGUUCAAGCUGGUUUUAGAAAAAGCAGAGGAACCAGAGAUCAAAUUGCCAACAUCCACUGGAUCACAGAAAAAGCAAGAGAGUUUCAGAAAAACAUCUAUUUCUGCUUUAUUGACUAUGCCAAAGCCUUUGACUGUAUGGAGCACAAGAAACUGUGGAAAAUUCUGAGAGAGAUGGGACUACCAGACCACCUGACCUGCCUCUUGAGAAACCAAUAUGCAGGUCAGGAAGCAAUAGUUAGAGCUGGAUAUGGAACAACAAACUGGUUCCAAAUAGGAAAAGGAGUACAUCAAGGCUACAUGUUGUCGCCCUGCUUAUUUAACUUAUAUGCAGAGUACAUCAUGAGAAACGCUGGGCUGGAAGAAGCACAAGCUGGAAUCAAGAUUGCCAAGAGAAAUAUCAAUAACCUCAGAUAUGCAGAUAACACCACCCUUAUGGCAGAAAGUGAAGAAGAACUCAAAAGCCUCUUGAUGAAAGUGAAAGAGGAGAGGGAAAAAGUUGGCUUAAAGCUCAACAUUCAGAAAACGAAGAUCAUGGCAUCUGGUCCCAUCACUUCAUGGGAAAUAGAUGGGGAAACAGUGGAAACAGUGUCAGAUUUUAUUUUUCUGGGCUCCAAAAUCACUGCAGAUGGUGACUGCAGCCAUGAAAUUAAAAGACGUUUACUCCUUGGAAGAAAAGUUAUGACCAACCUAGAUAGCAUAUUCAAAAGCAGAGACAUUACUUUGCCUACAAGGGUCCGUCUAGUCAAGGCUAUGGUUUUUCCAGUGGUCAUGUAUGGAUGUGAGAGUUGGACUUUUAAGAAAGCUGAGUGCCAAAGAAGUGAUGUUUUUGAACUUUGGUGUUGGAGAAGACUCUUGAGAGUCCCUUGGACUGCAAGGAGAUCCAACCAGUCCAUCCUAAAGGAGAUCAGUCCUGGAUGUUCAUUGGAAGGACUGAGGCUGAAGCUGAAACUCCAAUACUUUGGCUACCUCAUGCGAAGAGUUGACUCACUGGAAAAGACACUGAUGCUGGGAGGGAUUGGGGGCAGGAGGAGAAGGGGACGACAGAGGAUGAGAUGGCUGAUGGCAUCACUGACUUGA
rnacentral:lncRNA from 1 species